rnacentral:rRNA from 1 species
GACGAACGCUGGCGGCGUGCUUAACACAUGCGAGUCGAACGGAAAGGCCCUGCUUUUGUGGGGUGCUCGAGUGGCGAACGGGUGAGUAACACGUGAGUAACCUGCCCUUGACUUUGGGAUAACUUCAGGAAACUGGGGCUAAUACCGGAUAGGAGCUCCUGCUGCAUGGUGGGGGUUGGAAAGUUUCGGCGGUUGGGGAUGGACUCGCGGCUUAUCAGCUUGUUGGUGGGGUAGUGGCUUACCAAGGCUUUGACGGGUAGCCGGCCUGAGAGGGUGACCGGCCACAUUGGGACUGAGAUACGGCCCAGACUCCUACGGGAGGCAGAAGGGGGGAAUAUUGCACAAUGGGCGGAAGCCUGAUGCAGCAACGCCGCGUGCGGGAUGACGGCCUUCGGGUUGUAAACCGCUUUCGCCUGUGACGAAGCGUGAGUGACGGUAAUGGGUAAAGAAGCACCGGCUAACUACGU